rnacentral:rRNA from 1 species
GAAACAUCUUAGUACCCGGAGGAAGAGAAAGAAAAUUCGAUUCCCUUAGUAGCGGCGAGCGAAACGGGAAGAGCCCAAACCAACAAGCUUGCUUGUUGGGGUUGUAGGACACUCUAUACGGAGUUACAAAGGACGACAUUAGACGAAUCAUCUGGAAAGAUGAAUCAAAGAAGGUAAUAAUCCUGUAGUCGAAAAUGUUGUCUCUCUUGAGUGGAUCCUGAGUACGACGGAGCACGUGAAAUUCCGUCGGAAUCUGGGA